rnacentral:rRNA from 1 species
GAUGAACGCUAGCGGGAGGCCUAACACAUGCAAGCCGAGCGGUAUUUGUUCUUCUGAACAGAGAGAGCGGCGCACGGGUGCGGAACACGUGUGCAACCUGCCUUUAUCUGGGGGAUAGCCUUUCGAAAGGAAGAUUAAUACCCCAUAAUAUAUUGAGUGGCAUCACUUGAUAUUGAAAACUCCGGUGGAUAGAGAUGGGCACGCGCAAGAUUAGAUAGUUGGUGAGGUAACGGCUCACCAAGUCAAUGAUCUUUAGGGGGCCUGAGAGGGUGAUCCCCCACACUGGUACUGAGACACGGACCAGACUCCUACGGGAGGCAGCAGUGAGGAAUAUUGGACAAUGGGUUAGCGACUGAUCCAGCCAUCCCGCGUGAAGGACGACGGCCCUAUGGGUUGUAAACUUCUUUUGUAUAGGGAUAAACCUACUCUCGUGAGAGUAGCUGAAGGUACUAUACGAAUAAGCACCGGCUAACUCCGUG